GCGAGCGCGAAGGCUCGGAGAGAGAAGACAGAGGUUUGUCUGGUGUUUGUCUAGAGGAGACAAACAAAGCCGGACUGUGAGCGUGACUUUGGUUUCCUGUUCACGUGUGUGCGUGUCUGUUUCGUUUGUUUGUUUGUUUGUUUGUUUGUUUGUUUGUUUGUUUGUUUUAAUCGCAAGGGCUGCAAAACUGCCGCAAAGGAGAGCUGGAAAUCAGGAGGAGCGGGAAGAGAAAAUAAACUUAUCUGCAUUUUAUGGCUGAUGUGAAUGAAGAACCAAAUAAAUAGACAGUGUGUAUCCAGCCUUGGCUUGGUAAGUGAAGGACGACAGAAUUACAGGUUUGGAGGUCAACAAAGCUACAGUCUGACAGAGAAAACCAGUCAGUGCGACAGAAACGCGACAUGAAACUCAUGCACUAAGAUCCUCACCUCCAAGCAUACAACCGGAGGUGUGGAUAAGGGUCAUCUCCCGGCCCAGGGGUGCGAUUUCAGCUUUCCAGAGGGAGGGUAAGUGAGUAGUCCCAAGACCCUGAAAACCCCAAGGUUUGAAAUGAAACCUCAUCGCACACGUUGUGCACUCAGCCCGACCGCUGAGAGCGCACGUGAAAAUAUCACAAAUAUAACGUGCAGCUGGAUCAUUUUU